CAAAUUCGAAGAUGGCUAAAUUUUGCACCAUUCGAUAGCAAAAAUUCAAAGAAAUCUUGUUUGUUUGGACGAAAACUGCGCUUAUGUGGUUGCUUUUUUCACAAAAUGCGAUUUAAUAUUUUCCAUACAAUUUUCUAUAGAAGCCAUUGAAUGAACAGGUGGCGCCGCGAGUAGUUCAACAUUAUAAAUUCAAUUUGAUAUUUUAACCUCAAAAUAAAUGUUUUUGUUUUCAUUUUUGUGUUCGCGUCUAUACUGUACGUCCGGAAUACGUGAGUUUUUGGUGGUGCCCCACGCUUUGGGCAAGCAUGUGACCUUGAUCGUGUUGUGAAAUUAUUAUUGUCACACCGGGACGCUUUAUUGAUUUCCUUUAAAUAUUAAAAGAAAUCUCCGUCGGUGCAUAUGAUUUUGUACUCAAUCAGCCCAACCGGAUGCUGGAAAUCAGAUUCUCUUGUAAAUCCAUUCCGACUGUCAAAAGCCACGCGAGGUACGCCGGAUAUCGCUGAAUUUCAUCGGGAAGAAAUACCUGUGAGCACCGCAUCCAGAGGUUCUUCUCAACCAUUGUCUACGUGAGUGUCUUCUCGGCGAUCGAAUGCGGGAUCCUGGCGAUCAUUUAUGGCACCUACAUUGCCCGUGUGAUGCGCUUCAAUCGAACCAGACCACCAAGAAACUCGCUAGCAAACUUGAUAAAGCAACGUGUACGGGCAGCUUCUAUUCUUCUCGAAGGACCUUCCUACUUGAGUCCCAAAGUGGGCCUAUUGAGCGACACCUGUUCUCACCCAACAACUGAUUCAGGAUCCCAGUGGAGUCGCUGACCCAACAUCACGGAACCCCAUUCACGCAAUACCAGCAAAAUAAGUUACUACUCAGAUACACGGAAACCCCACAGGAAGUGUCCACACGAAAGGCACGAAAAUUUGCUGUAAAAAUUAGAAUUAGACAAGGAAUCACGCUCUAUAAUUUUAGGUCAUUUUAUUAGCAAGCUUUUACUGUUUUUAAUUCUCAAGUUGUUUAUUCUGUAUAAAAAGAUCAUUCAAGGGGGGAAAUCGAUAUGAUUGUGUGUGUGUGUGUGUGUUAAAUAAGACCGGAAAGGCAAAGAAAAUUAAAUAAAAGUAUAGAAGAAA